rnacentral:rRNA from 1 species
UGGUAGUCCACGCCGUAAACGAUGUCGAUUUGGAGGUUGUGCCCUUGAGGCGUGGCUUCCGGAGCUAACGCGUUAAAUCGACCGCCUGGGGAGUACGGCCGCAAGGUUAAAACUCAAAUGAAUUGACGGGGGCCCGCACAAGCGGUGGAGCAUGUGGUUUAAUUCGAUGCAACGCGAAGAACCUUACCUGGUCUUGACAUCCACAGAACUUAGCAGAGAUGCUUUGGUGCCUUCGGGAACUGUGAGACAGGUGCUGCAUGGCUGUCGUCAGCUCGUGUUGUGAAAUGUUGGGUUAAGUCCCGCAACGAGCGCAACCCUUAUCCUUUGUUGCCAGCGGUCCGGCCGGGAACUCAAAGGAGACUGCCAGUGAUAAACUGGAGGAAGGUGGGGAUGACGUCAAGUCAUCAUGGCCCUUACGACCAGGGCUACACACGUGCUACAAUGGCAUAUACAAAGAAGCGACCUCGCGAG